rnacentral:rRNA from 1 species
GACGAACGCUGGCGGCGUGCUUAACACAUGCAAGUCGAACGAAGAGCGAUGGAAGCUUGCUUCUAUCAAUCUUAGUGGCGAACGGGUGAGUAACGCGUAAUCAACCUGCCCUUCAGAGGGGGACAACAGUUGGAAACGACUGCUAAUACCGCAUACGAUCUAACCUCGGCAUCGAGGAUAGAUGAAAGGUGGCCUCUAUUUAUAAGCUAUCACUGAAGGAGGGGAUUGCGUCUGAUUAACUAGUUGGAGGGGUAACGGCCCACCAAGGCGAUGAUCAGUAGCCGGUCUGAGAGGAUGAACGGCCACAUUGGGACUGAGACACGGCCCAGACUCCUACGGGAGGCAGCAGUGGGGAAUCUUCCGCAAUGGACGAAAGUCUGACGGAGCAACGCCGCGUGAGUGAUGACGGCCUUCGGGUUGUAAAGCUCUGUUAAUCGGGACGAAAGGCCUUCUUGCGAAUAGUUAGAAGGAUUGACGGUACCGGAAUAGAAAGCC